AGUGAACGCUGGCGGUAGGCCUAACACAUGCAAGUCGAACGGCAGCACAGUAAGAGCUUGCUCUUACGGGUGGCGAGUGGCGGACGGGUGAGGAAUACAUCGGAAUCUACUUUUUCGUGGGGGUUCACGUAGGGAAACUUACUCUAAUACCGCAUACGACCUACGGGUGAAAGCAGGGGAUCUUCGGACCUUGCGCGAUUGAAUGAGCCGAUGUCGGAUUAGCUAGUUGGGGUGGUAAAGGCCCACCAAGGCGACGGUCCGUAGCUGGUCUGAGAGGAUGAUCAGCCACACUGGAACUGAGACACGGUCCAGACUCCUACGGGAGGCAGCAGUGGGGAAUAUUGGACAAUGGGCGCAAGCCUGAUCCAGCCAUACCGCGUGGGUGAAGAAGGCCUUCGGGUUGUAAAGCCCUUUUGUUGGGAAAGAAAAGCAGCAGGUUAAUACCCCGCUGUUCUGACGGUACCCAAAGAAUAAGCACCGGCUAACUUCGUG
rnacentral:rRNA from 1 species